rnacentral:rRNA from 1 species
GGCGUAAGGGCUCGCAGGCGGUUUCUUAAGUCUGAUGUGAAAGCCCCCGGCUCAACCGGGGAGGGUCAUUGGAAACUGGGGAACUUGAGUGCAGAAGAGGAGAGUGGAAUUCCACGUGUAGCGGUGAAAUGCGUAGAGAUGUGGAGGAACACCAGUGGCGAAGGCGACUCUCUGGUCUGUAACUGACGCUGAGGAGCGAAAGCGUGGGGAGCGAACAGGAUUAGAUACCCUGGUAGUCCACGCCGUAAACGAUGAGUGCUAAGUGUUAGGGGGUUUCCGCCCCUUAGUGCUGCAGCUAACGCAUUAAGCACUCCGCCUGGGGAGUACGGUCGCAAGACUGAAACUCAAAGGAAUUGACGGGGGCCCGCACAAGCGGUGGAGCAUGUGGUUUAAUUCGAAGCAACGCGAAGAACCUUACCAGGUCUUGACAUCCUCUGACAAUCCUAGAGAUAGGACGUCCCCUUCGGGGGCAGAGUGACAGGUGGUGCAUGGUUGUCGUCAGCUCGUGUCGUGAGAUGUUGGGUUAAGUCCCGCAACGAGCGCAACCCUUGAUCUUAGUUGCCAGCAUUCAGUUGGGCACUCUAAGGUGACUGCCGGUGACAAACCGGAGGAAGGUGGGGAUGACG